rnacentral:tRNA from 4 species
GACAACGUGGCCGAGCGGUUAAGGCGAUUGACUAGAAAUCAAUUGGGAUUUUCCCGCGUAGGUUCAAAUCCUGCCGUUGUCG